UACAAAAUAAGGAAGAUCUAGAGAAUAUUGCUGCAAGAUUUAGGUGAGCCACUGAUAAGCUGCCACCUCAUUUCCUCCUAACUGAAUUUGUUGAUUUAUCAUGUGAUGAAAUUUUCUAGAUACUUUGGCAUGUGGACUUGUCUCUUGGGCCUUCCCAUUGCAACAUCAUGGGCCACUUCCACUGUGUUUUCUUCAGCCCAUUUGCUAUCAUUCUCCACCCCAUCUGGAAGCACAUUGUCCUCAAGGUGGUAUGCUUGUUUGAGAUUGUCCCAAUCUUCCCAAGAAGUAUCAUCAGCAUGCAGUCCUUCCCAUUGCACGAGCACUUAGAGUGAGGCUCAGCCGUUUGAGUCCAGCGGGUGUUGAGUAUCACUAGAGGAGUGAUGAUGGGUUGAUUAUCUAAUGCUGAUGGAGGUAAUGUCGCUGUUGGAAUUGGGGAAGAAGAGUCUUUGUGAAAAGGUUUCAACAUGGAGCAGUGAAAAACCAGAUGAAUUUUGGAUCCUUGUGGCAAGAGGAGUUUGUAAGCAACACUUCCCACCUUCUCCGGAAUUUGAAAUGGACCGUAAAAACGUUUGCUGAAUUUCGAAUAAAGAGUGACAGUGACGGAAAUCUGUCGAUGUGGUCGUAAUUUAACCAUCACCCAAUCUCCGAUAUUGUAUUGCACAUCCCGUCUAUGUGCAUCAACAAAUUUCUUCAUAUCUUGUUGUGCCUUGGUCAGUUUUCUGCGCAGAGAAAUCAGCAUAGUCUCACGAUUAGCCAACAAUUCAUCAACAACUUCAAUAGUGGAGGUGCCUACCAAAUAUUGCGGAAUGAUGGGUGGUGUUUUCCCAAAAGUAAUCUCAAAGGGAGAUUUUCCAGUGCCUGAGUGUUGAGACGUGUUGUAAGACCAUUCAGCCCACACGAGAAACUUGCCCUAAGUUGCCGGUUUCGAGUGUACAAACGCACGGAGAUACUGCUCAAUGAUCCUAUUUGCCACUUCUGUCUGGCCAUCAGUCUGAGGGUGGUAGGACGAACUCAUACGUAACUUAGUGCCGCUGAGUCUGAACAGCUCUUGCCAGAAUCGACUCACAAAUAAUGGAUCGCGGUCUGAAACCAAGCUACGAGGCAUACCGUGGAUCUUGCCAACAAUGUCCAUAAAGAGUAAGGCAACCUUGUAAGCAGUAUAGUGAGGUUGCAACAUACCAAGAUGAAUGCCUUAGGAAAAAUGGUCAACGACCACUAGGAUUGUGGUGUUCCCUUUGUAAGGAGGUAAACCCACGAUAAAGUCAAGAGAUAAGUCUUCCCAAGGCGCAUGAGGAAUUGGCAAUGGACAGAGCAAUCCAACAACUUUCUUUGUUUCAUAUUUGGAGUGUUGACAGUCCAGACAAGCGAGAACAAACUUAUGGACAUCAUCACGCAUCCUGACCCAUGUAAAGUUUGAGCUUAAGCGUGCCAAAGCCUUGGUGACACCCAUAUGGCCUCCGAUGGGUGUUUUAUGGAAUUCCUCCAACAGAACCUUUAUGAAGGAAGUGGUGCGUGGCAACCAAAUGCGAUCUUUGUGGUAUAUAAGACCCGAAACAAUUUUGAAAUCUUGUGCCCCCUCAGUGUUAUUGGUAAUGUCUUGCAGUUUGGAGAGAAAUUCAUGUUGCUAGGAGAGUUCAUGCUUUAAUGUUUUCAGGAAGGAGAAACUGAGGAUUGACAACAUGUAGAACUCAGGGGACUCAUUUUCUGGUAUGCGAGAAAGGGCAUCUGCAACCACAUUCAUUUUUCCGGAACGAUACUGAAUCGUGUAAUCAUAACCAAUCAACCGUGACAAGUACAACUGCUGUUUUGGCGUUUGUACCACUUGUGACAUCAAUUCCUUUAAGCUGCGGUGAUCUGUCAGAAUCACAAAGGAGUGGCCCAACAAAUAUUGUCGCCAUUUCUUCACUACUGCUGUGAUGGCAAAGAGUUCUCUGACAUAUGUAGACGCGUUCAACAACUUGCGACAAAAUGGUUUGCUAAAGAAAGCAAUUGGUUGGUUCUGUUGAGAUAACACAAUACCCAUGCCGACACCGGAGGCAUCCAUUUCAGAAUUCCAGCCAAAUUGAUCCUUUUUGAGGAGUUGAGUUAAUGGAGCUGCAAUUGUCGCAUAUCCCUUGAUGAGUCGUCGGUAGAAACCUGUCAAACCCAAGAAACCACAAAGAGCUUUGAGAGUGCUUGGUACUGGCCACUGUUGAAUCGCAAGAACCUUCGCUUUAACUGGUUCAACCCCAUGUUGGGAAACAAUGUGACCAAGGUAUUCAAUUUGACGUUGAGUGAACAAGCAUUUUGAUUGCUUGAGAAAAAAUUAUCCCUCCUGUAAAACCUGAAAUGCUUGAUCCAUAUGGUUCAAGUGGUCCUCAUAAUUAGUGCUGUAAAUUAGAAUAUCAUCAAAGAACAUAAUGAUAAACUUGCGCAGAAAUGGCUUGAAUAUCGUGUUCAUGGUAGCUUGAAAUGUCGAUGGCGCAUUGCACAGUCCAAACGGCAUAACCCGAAACUCAUAGUGACCCUGAUGUGUCCGAAAGGCGGUUUUAAAAACAUCUUCCUCCCGCAUAAGGAUCUGAUGAUACCCCUGUAGCAAAUCCAAUUUUGUGAACCACGUAGCCCCACCCAACUCGUCUAACAAUUCAUCAACAGUGGGGAUGGGAAAUCGAUCCUUUAUAGUGAUUGAAUUCAAGGCCCGAUAGUCGACACAAAAUCUCCAAGACCCGUCUUUCUUCUUAACAAGGAGAACCGGCGACGAAAAAGGACUUGUACUCGGUUGUAUCACCCCAUUAGCUAGCAUAGUGUCCACUUGUUUCUCAAUUUCGUGUUUCUGAAAAUAGGGAUAACGAUAGGGACAAACAUUAACAGGAUGGGCCUGGGGUAGUAAGUGUAUGGAGUGGUUGGUCUCAUGAGCAGGUGGAAGGUUUGACGGUAUCUGAAAUAAGGAGUCAUAUUUGUGGAGUAGUGUUUGGACUUUAGGGUCACUGAUUUGGGUUGAAGGGGGCUCUGGUUGUAGAACUUGGAUAUGAAAGAAGGCACUAGCUCUUUUAGUGUGGAGGAGGCGUCACACCUGUUGGGCAAUAAUGAGGUGAAGUCCACCAACUCUCUCACCCCUUAGUUCUAUCAUCUUACCAUUCUUGAGAAACUUCAUAGAGAGAUCAUUAUAGUCAGUAAGAAUCGGACCCAAAGAUUUUAUCCAUUGAACACCUAACACAAUAUCAGCACCACUGAGGGAAAGGACGUGUAGGUCAACGGUGAAUGUGUGAGACUGAAUGUGAAUUUUUACUUGAGGGCAAAUUUGGUGGCACUCAAUUUCAUUGCCAUUACCUACCAUGACCUUGAGAGAGCAAGUGGGUUAGGCCUUCAGCCCAAGAUAUUUAACCAACCUUUCUUGGAUAAAGUUAUGGGUAUUGCCCCCAUCAACUAGGAUAACUGCAUUGGGGGUGGAGAUGCGGCCCACCAGACGUAGAGUUUUAGGGGCCAAGUGGCCCGAAAGGGCAUGGAAACUGAUUUGGGCUUGAUUAAGGGUCGGGUCGGGUUCCGGUUCAAGUAACAACCCAGAUUCACAAGGAUUCAGAAUCAUAUUUGUUUCUUGGGGCUCAUCUUCUUCCAUAAUAAGGACAAUAAAUUUUGAUGCACAUUUGUGACAUAGACUAAACUUCUCAUCACAGUUAAAACACAAACCCUUCUCACGACGGAGAGACAUCUCCGUAGGUGUCAGUCGUUUCAAAUGUGGUACUGGUGGUUUGGGGUUGUUUGGAAAACGGUUAUGUGACGCAGCAGGGGUAGGAAGUAUACCUUUAUUGCGAGCAAACCUGUGAGCUUCAUGGAGUUUCUCUUCCUGCAACCUGGCCAAAGCAGCAACUUGGAUAAGUGAUAGUGGUUGUAACGCCUGAACCUCGCGGCGAACGUCCGGUGCAAGCCCUGAGAUGAAGCAACUUAAGAGAAAGCUCGGUGGGAGACCCACAAUACGAUUUGCAAGCGUCUCAAAUUCUGUUAAAUAUUCGUUGACCGACCCUUUCUGAGUGAGUUUGAACAAUGCGCCAUUGGGAUCGUCGUACUGUGACGAUGCGAAAUGGGCCUCGAGUGCGUGCAGUAACGCCGUCCAACUGGUAAACUGGCCGUUGCGAGACAUCCAUUGAAACCAUCCGAGAUCCGACCCUUCCAUGUAGAAGGAUGCAACUGUCAGUCGUUCUACUUCCGGCGUAUCGUGAUACUAAAAAAAUUGGUUGAUCUUGAAGAUCCAACCCAAAGCAUUUGUUCCAUUGAAGCGAGGCACGUCAAGCUUCAUACGGUGAGGUUUAUUGGAGUUUUGGGGUGAGGUGUAGAACGGAGAUCCGUUACCGGGGGAGUGAGAUGACGUGUCGAGGGAGGAGAGUUUGCCGAGAAUGUCAUCAAUUUUGGAAGAGAAGUUUGAUUGGUGGUUAAACGGGAGAUAGCUCCGUCGAUAACUUUCGAUCGAGUGCCGUCAGCCAUGGAUGAGGUUCAAUGAAAGCACCAAAUUUGUUAGGUGCAAUGAUAAAUCCUAGAGUUCGAGGAACUAGGGGCCUUCAGAAAUAACAGAGAGAAAGAGAAUUUGGAUAAAAUACUGCUUAUUUCAUUCAUUCCUUACAUGUCAAUAUAUAGAAUAGUUUUAGGAUAGCAAACGCGGAAAUAACGGAAUACAAAAUAAGGAAGAUCUAGAGAAUAUUGCUGCAAGGUUUAGGUGAGCCACUGAUAAGCUGCCACCUCAUUUCCUCCUAACUGAAUUUGUUGAUUUAUCAUGUGAUGAAAUCUUCUAGAUACUUUGGCAUGUGGACUUCUCUCUUGGGCCUUCCCAUUGCAACAACCUAACUGAAUUUGUUGAUUUAUCAUGUGAUGAAAUCUUCUAGAUACUUUGGCAUGUGGACUUCUCUCUUGGGCCUUCCCAUUGCAACAUCAUGGGCCACUUCCACUGUGUUUUCUUCAGCCCAUUU
rnacentral:lncRNA from 1 species